AAUGAACGCUGGCGGCACGCCUAACACAUGCAAGUCGAACGAAGGCUUCGGCCUUAGUGGAGCACGGGUGCGUGACGCGUGGGAAUCUGCCCUUGGGUUCGGAAUAACAGUUAGAAAUGACUGCUAAUACCAGAUGAUGUCGUAAGACCAAAGAUUUAUCGCCCAAGGAUGAGCCCGCGUAGGAUUAGCUAGUUGGUGAGGUAAAAGCUCACCAAGGCGACGAUCCUUAGCUGGUCUGAGAGGACGAUCAGCCACACUGGGACUGAGACACGGCCCAGACUCCUACGGGAGGCAGCAGUGGGGAAUAUUGGACAAUGGGCGAAAGCCUGAUCCAGCAAUGCCGCGUGAGUGAUGAAGGCCUUAGGGUUGUAAAGCUCUUUUACCCGGGAUGAUAAUGACAGUACCGGGAGAAUAAGCUCCGGCUAACUUCGUGCCAGCCGCCGCCGUAAUAC
rnacentral:rRNA from 1 species